rnacentral:rRNA from 1 species
AUUGCCCUAGUAACGGCGAGUGAAGCGGCAACAGCUCAAAUUUGAAAUCUGGCGUCUUUGGCGUCCGAGUUGUAAUUUGCAGAGGGCGCUUUGGCAUUGGCAGCGGUCCAAGUUCCUUGGAACAGGACGUCACAGAGGGUGAGAAUCCCGUACGUGGUCGCUAGCCUUUACCGUGUAAAGCCCCUUCGACGAGUCGAGUUGUUUGGGAAUGCAGCUCUAAAUGGGAGGUAAAUUUCUUCUAAAGCUAAAUACUGGCCAGAGACCGAUAGCGCACAAGUAGAGUGAUCGAAAGAUGAAAAGCACUUUGGAAAGAGAGUUAAAAAGCACGUGAAAUUGUUGAAAGGGAAGCGCUUGCAGCCAGACUUGCCUGUAGUUGCUCAUCCGGGUUUUUACCCGGUGCACUCUUCUACGGGCAGGCCAGCAUCAGUUUGGGCGGUUGGAUAAAGGUCUCUGUCAUGUACCUCCUCUCGGGGAGAUCUUAUAGGGGAGACGACAUGCAACCAGCCUGGACUGAGGUCCGCGCAUCUGCUAGGAUGCUGGCGUAAUGGCUGUAAGCGGCCCGUCUUGAAACACGGACCAAGGAGUCUAACAUCUAUGCGAGUGUUUGGGUGUCAAGCCCGAACGCGUAAUGAAAGUGAACGGAGGUGGGAACCUUUCGGGGUGCACCAUCGACCGAUCCUGAUGUCUUCGGAUGGAUUUGAGUAAGAGCAUAGCUGUUGGGACCCGAAAGAUGGUGAACUAUGCUUGAAUAGGGUGAAGCCAGAGGAAACUCUGGUGGAGGCUCGCAGCGGUUCUGACGUGCAAAUCGAUCGUCAAAUUUGGGCAUAGGGGCGAAAGACUAAUCGAACUAUCUAGUAGCUGGUUCCUGCCGAAGUUUCCCUCAGGAUAGCAGUAACGUUUUCAGUUUUAUGAGGUAAAGCGAAUGAUUAGAGGCCUGGGGGUUGAAACAACCUUCACCUAUUCUCAAACUUUAAAUAUGUAAGAAGUCCUUGUUACUUAAUUGAACGUGGACAGUUGAAUGUAUCGUUACUAGUGGGCCAUUUUUGGUAAGCAGAACUGGCGAUGCGGGAUGAACCGAACGCGGGGGUUAAGGU